rnacentral:rRNA from 1 species
CCUACGGGUGACAGCAGUGAGGAAUAUUGGUCAAUGGCCGGAAGGCUGAACCAGCCAUGCCGCGUGAAGGUCAGUGCCCUAUGGGCGUUAAACUUCUUUUGUGCGGGAGCAAUAAUGGUCACGUGUGGCCAGACGAGAGUACCGUACGACUAAGCAUCGGCUAACUCCGUGCCAGCAGCCGCGGUAAUACGGGGGAUGCAAGCGUUAUCCGGAUUUAUUGGGUUUAAAGGGUGCGUAGGCUGUGAGGUAAGUCAGCGGUGAAAUGCCCCCGCUCAACGGGGUGAAGUGCCAUUGAUACUGCCGUGCUGGAAUGCGGAUGCGGUGGGAGGAAUGUGUGGUGUAGCGGGGAAAUGCGUAGAUAUUACACAGAACACCGAUUGCGAAGGCAUCCCACGAAUCCGCGAUUGACGCUGAGGCACGAAAGCGUGGGGAUCAAACAGGAUUAGAUACCCCUGUAGUC